GGAGGAGGGGGAGGGGAGGAAGGGAAAGAGGAGAACAAUAAACAAGGGAAAGAUGGAUAGAAACGCGUCCAGGGAAGAGAAGCUUUUCUUCGAUAGAACAGGCACCUGGCGCAUGAGAAACCGCCUCCACUAAGGAGAGUCAGCCAGCUGCAGCGUUCCCUCAGCCCGCGAGGGCCCUGGAGGCAGAGGCCGGUGCCCGACGAGGGAGGACAAGGUGACCCAGUUCCUGCGCCCGCGUGUCAUCUGCAUGUGCCAGCGGCAGGACGACUCCAUCAAGUGCGAAACUGGAGUUUCCGCUCCUGAAACCGCCUUGGGAACCCCCGUGCAGCCCGGGAAGCCUGAGCAGCGGAGCCCCCGGGACCUGCCCAGCCAGAACCGAUAAGGGGACGGGACAGAGGCCGCUGACGAGAGCCAGUCCUGGAGCCGGUGGGCGGCCUGGCCCAGGGCGGGCUCGCCCUCCAGCACCCGCUCCUGCUGGAGCCGUGACUAAGCCCUCACCAGGGAGAGUGUGCGGCCGGCGGGUGUGCCCGUGGGAGUCACAGCUGACGGCCGAGACCCAGGUCGGGCAGGAAGAGGACGAGGGCAGGAGCCGGUGGCUCGCUGGGCAGGAAGGACUCUCUUUGUCUCAUUUCUUUUCUGGCAGGUGUUUCAGCACCAAACAUGAGUGGUGUGGCCCAGCUGGUUGAGCCUCGACCUGUGAACCAGGAGGUCAGGGUUCGAUUCCCAAUCAGGGCACAGGCCCAGGCUGCGGGCUCGACCCCCAGUGUGGGGCGUGUAGGAGGCGGCCGAUCCAUGAUUCUCUCUCAUUAUUGAUGUUUCCCUCUCUUCCUCUCCCUUCCUCUCUGAAAUCAAUAAAAAUAUGUUUUUUUAAAAAGAAGAAACAGUCUGACGCUGACCCAACUUAGGAGCCUGAGGGGCGGCGAGGACAGGGGUAGGGGUGGUGCCCGUGCCCCCGCGGCCCCCGGGGUCUUCAGAGGAGGGUGUGGGUAUGGGCACUCGGAGACAAGGUCUAGGAUGGUAGGACGGGUGCCUUCUAACCUGGGGGGGGGGGAA